rnacentral:rRNA from 1 species
GGAGGAAAGCAGGGGAUCGCAAGACCUUGCGCUCAUUGAGCGGCCGAUGCCUGAUUAGCUAGUUGGUGAGGUAAAGGCUUACCAAGGCGACGAUCAGUAGCUGGUCUGAGAGGACGACCAGCCACACUGGGACUGAGACACGGCCCAGACUCCUACGGGAGGCAGCAGUGGGGAAUUUUGGACAAUGGGGGAAACCCUGAUCCAGCCAUGCCGCGUGAGUGAAGAAGGCCUUCGGGUUGUAAAGCUCUUUCAGCCGGAACGAAACGGUCACGGCUAAUACCUGUGACUACUGACGGUACCGGAAGAAGAAGCUCCGGCUAACUACGUGCCAGCAGCCGCGGUAAUACGUAGGGUGCGAGCGUUAAUCGGAAUUACCGGGCGUAAAGCGUGCGCAGGCGGUUUUGUAAGUC